rnacentral:rRNA from 1 species
UACGUAGGUGGCAAGCAUUAUCCGGAUUUACUGGGCGUAAAGGGUGCGUAGGCGGAUUUUUAAGUGGGAUGUGAAAUACCCGGGCUCAACCUGGGGGCUGCAUUUCAAACUGGAUAUCUAGAGUGCAGGAGAGGAAAGCGGAAUUCCUAGUGUAGCGGUGAAAUGCGUAGAGAUUAGGAAGAACACCAGUGGCGAAGGCGACUUUCUGGACUGUAACUGACACUGAGGCAUGAAAGCGUGGGGAGCAAAC